rnacentral:rRNA from 1 species
AUGGAGGAUUUUUCGGCCGGAGCGACCACCAUGGACGAGCGCAGGUUCGACAUGGUGCCGGUCUGGGUCAGGGCGUACGGCGUCCCGGCUGGCUCGAUGAGCUGGGAGACCGGGGAGCUGGUUGGUGAGCAGGUUGGGAAGGUUCUUGAGGUGGAUACGGGCGCGAAUGCCGACUCGACGGGAGCGUUCAUGCGGAUCAAGGUGAGAAUGGACAUCACGGUCCCGAUUAUGAGGUUUGUGACAUGCUUUAUUCAGGAUGAUGAAGAGGAUAUGACUACACUUGGGGACGUCUCUGGGGGCGGUCUGGAGCCCCGGUUCCAGCGUCGACUGCGAGGACCUCGGCCGCCAGGAGGCCGACAAGGACAAGGCUCUGGAUGCCGGCCCUGGAGCUUCGCCGGCCAUCUGCUGGUGAUGGAGGAUUUUGCGGGCGGAGCGACCACCGUGGACGAGCGACGGUUCGACACGGUGCUGAUCUGGGUCAGGGCGUACGGCGUCCCGGCGGGGUCGAUGAGCAAGGAGACCAGAGAGCUGGUUGGUGAGCGGGUUGGGAAGGUUCUCGAGGUGGAUACAGCCGCGAAUGCCGACUCGACGGGAGCGUUCAUGCGGGUCAAAGUGAGAAUGGACAUCACGGUCCCGAUUAUGAGGUUUGUGACAUGCUUUAUUCAGGAUGAUGAAGAGGAUAUGACUACACUUGGGGACGAUGAAAAGGAGGAGAGGAGAAGAUCCUCGCCUUUACCUACGAGAAUAUCCCCGACUUCUGCUAUGGCUGCGGGAUACUUGGGCAUACAGAGAAGUCAUGCCCGACUAGAUCUGCAAGAACGGGGAGCCGGCAGUUUGGGCCAUGGCUAA